AGGACGAACGCUGGCGGCGCGCCUAACACAUGCAAGUCGAGCGAUAACCAGGGCUUGCCCUGGGGACAGCGGCGAACGGGUGCGUAACACGUGAGCAACCUGCCCCAAAGACCGGGACAACCCGAGGAAACUCGGACUAAUACCGGAUGCCCUCACCGGGCCGCAUGGUCUGGUGAGGAAAUGGAUUCCGCUUUGGGAUGGGCUCGCGGUCUAUCAGCUUGUUGGUGGGGUAACGCCUACCAAGGCGACGACGGAUAGCUGGUCUGAGAGGACGAUCAGCCACACUGGGACUGAGACACGGCCCAGACUCCUACGGGAGGCAGCAGUGGGGAAUUUUCCGCAAUGGAGGCAACUCUGACGGAGCAACGCCGCGUGCAGGAGGAAGGUUUUCGGAUCGUAAACUGCUUUUCUCGGGGACGAGCAAGGACGGUACCCGAGGAAGAAGCCCCGGCUAACUACGCGCCAGCAGCCGC
rnacentral:rRNA from 1 species